rnacentral:misc_RNA from 1 species
CCGAACCGUCAACACGAGUUGUUGCUGGUCCUCGUAUGGGGUCACGUGCACGCUCUGUUCACACAUCCACUCACACCUGUGCACCUUCUGCCGUUCUGUGGCUUGGGGGGCGUUUGCGUUUUUAUACAGACCACCACAUGUGUAGAAUGUCUUACUAUUUGCGAUAAUGCGCAAUCAAUA